UUUUUAUAGAGCAUGAAUGAACUAGGUGAACCAGAAUUUGUUUUUAAUAUGCAAGGCCAAGGAGCUGAUAGUCUGUAGAAUGAAUGAUUGAGAUACAAAGGUUCAUGCGGGUCAAGGAGAGUGAUAUUGUCUACUUCUAGUUUUCUGUUUUUAUGCCAUGAACUUGUUAGGCAAUCCGGUUUGUCAAUUUGUCUUUUUUCUUGGAUUUGAAUCAUGUGUAAUGGAUGUUUAAGACUUUCCUAUUUAAAUGCUUUAAGUUUU